rnacentral:rRNA from 1 species
CGUAGGGUGCAAGCGUUAAUCGGAAUUACUGGGCGUAAAGCGUGCGCAGGCGGUUAUGUAAGACAGAUGUGAAAUCCCCGGGCUCAACCUGGGAACUGCAUUUGUGACUGCAUAGCUUGAGUGCGGCAGAGGGGGAUGGAAUUCCGCGUGUAGCAGUGAAAUGCGUAGAUAUGCGGAGGAACACCGAUGGCGAAGGCAAUCCCCUGGGCCUGCACUGACGCUCAUGCACGAAAGCGUGGGGAGCAAACAGGAUUAGAUACCCUGGUACGUCCACGCCCUAAACGAUGUCAACUGGUUGUUGGGAAGGUUCCCUCUCAGUAACGUAGCUAACGCGUGAAGUUGACCGCCUGGGGAGUACGGCCGCAAGGUUG